rnacentral:lncRNA from 1 species
AAGACUUUUCCCACCUGAUAUCGAGCGAUCAUGGCUAUUAUUACCAUUGGGUCGUCCUGAUCGGGAUCUGGAGCGUGAAAAUCUUCAUCUGAGAAUGAGAUCAUAGGCAUAGAUUUUCGUUCUAUUCCUGUUUGAUUCACAUGAUGUAAGCCUCUCAAAUGCCUUUUACGCGCUGACACUGACGAACCUCCCCCUGCGAACCCUCCAGAGAUAGUAUUUAUAACCCCUCUGGUCACUCUUUCUCUGCUUCGGCUUCUACUUCUGCUUCGGUCUGGUUGAUGACUUCUUUCUCCUUUAUGCCUUAUCACGUUCGAUGCUCCUCUUUUAUAACGUUGUACAAACUUUUGUAAGUGCCCAGCUUGAACAAGAUUUUCCAGUUUGUCUUUCAGGGUUGUGCACUCUUCCG